ensembl:lncRNA novel transcript
UCAAGUAAAAGUGGAAUCUCUGUCAAUGUGAAUCAGAAUCACUUCUCAGCAACACAGCAGCCUUCAGUCCUUGCUGACAGAUUCCUUCUAAGCUGCACGGGGGCAACCAUGCAGAAAAAGCAAAAUCCUACCUUCAGCCAGGGAGUUUACAAGUUGACCAGCAAAGCUGCCAAGUUUAAAUGAGGCCCUUUGCAGCAGCAGAUCUUGGAAGCCAUUCAACAAGUCAAGACCCAGGCACCACCUUGAAAACCUUGAGUCUGCUACCUUGAUGGAAUUACUGGAUGUGACAGCAGAGACCUGGAAGAAAAAUGCCUUGAUUUGGCUGUGUAAGCUGCAGCCACUGCAGGUAACCUGAAGAAAUGCUGAAUCUGCUGUCCUGGACGUCAUUCUGUCCCAGAUCACAGACACCUUUACAUCCUGCCAGUGGUGAACUACACCAGCAUUCCCAAUACUACAGUGCGCGUCUAUAGAAGCUGAGCCCUGGAUUAUCAAGUGAAGACCUGAUACUUGCCACAUGGGAGGGAGCCAGAGGGACCCUGUUUUAAUUUAGCUGGUCUAAGGUGGCACAAUGUCACAACCACAACUAACAAAACCUUGGCGGGAUGGUAUUUUGACACAGCCAGUCUUCUUUUGUCCCUUGCUACCUAUCAGUAGGCAAUAAAACCACUUCAUGUAAUGUUGUGUGUACAGGUAUACUGCCUCACCAGAUUCAGACAGGUCAGUAACCAGUGCACAGUGAACCUGCUUCACACAGCCCUAGGACAAUGGGUACUAUGAUCAGCAUUACCACUUUAUAGAUGAGGAACUGAGGCACAGAGAAGUAAAUCAUAUAGCUAGUAAGUGGCAGAAUCAGAAUGUGAUCCCAGGCAAUCUGGCCUGUAGAGUCUGUAAUAUUAACGACUAUGCUAUGGAGUCUUUGAUGGAUUAGGGAAAAAAAUUACCGUUGCUCUUCCCAAAAACCUUAUAAUUAAAUGACUCUAAUGAUCAGAUGUGAGCACAACCUUGGAAAAUGUAAUUUUCCAUAAAUUUUAGAUCAUUUGGAAAUAUUGUCCAUUUUCUUUCUUGGCUAACUUUGAUCAUUGAGAACAGCAGCAUAGGAUUUUAAUAUUUAUUUAUUUAUCUGAUAGUAAGCAUUUAUCUAAACUCUUUAUGGAAAUCUUCAAAUCAGUCAUUUCAUUUAUGUAGACAAAAAUGCAGGUGAAAAAUCUAAGUAUGUAUUUAAAUUUACUGAAAAUCAUAUUUUUUCCUUAAGUAAGCCUUUCAUUAUUCCUCUGGAAUUUCUCUUUUCCAUGUAAUGGCUCUUUUGUUGGUAAGAUUUUUCUAUGUUAUUCAUUGACAGCUGCAAAACUGCUUUGCCAAGUUAAAAAUGCAAUCGUAUUUUGAAAGAUACUUGUUUGUUAAACAUAAAAUGAUUUAUUUAGUUGCCUGUUUAUAAUAGUUUUAGAGAAAUAUUACUCUAGGAAUAUAUUUUUAUGUGAAAUGACUAUUAAGAGUUCAUUAUAUUUUUCCAUGUUUAGGAUUCUAUUCUCUCAUUUC